UACGUAGGCAGCGAGCGUUGUUCGGAGUUACUGGGCGUAAAGGGUGUGUAGGCGGUUGUUUAAGUUUGGUGUGAAAUCUCCCGGCUCAACUGGGAGGGUGCGCCGAAUACUGAAUGACUUGGAGUGCGGAAGAGGCGAGUGGAAUUCCUGGUGUAGCGGUGGAAUGCGCAGAUAUCAGGAGGAACACCAACGGCGAAGGCAGCUCGCUGGGACGGUACUGACGCUGAGGCGCGAAAGCGUGGGGAGCGAACAGG
rnacentral:rRNA from 1 species